rnacentral:rRNA from 1 species
CGGAUGAACGCUAGCGACAGGCUUAACACAUGCAAGUCGAGGGGUAACAGGGUAGCAAUACCGCUGACGACCGGCGCACGGGUGAGUAACGCGUAUGCAACCUGCCUAUAACUGGGGAAUAGCUCCCUGAAAGGGGAAUUAACACCGCAUAACACUAUUGAUUCGCAUGGAUUGGUAGUUAAAUGUAGCGAUACAGGUUAUAGAUGGGCAUGCGUGACAUUAGCUAGUUGGUGAGGUAACGGCUCACCAAGGCUACGAUGUCUAGGGGUUCUGAGAGGAAGGUCCCCCACACUGGUACUGAGACACGGACCAGACUCCUACGGGAGGCAGCAGUGAGGAAUAUUGGUCAAUGGGCGGAAGCCUGAACCAGCCAUCCCGCGUGAAGGAAGACAGCCUUACGGGUUGUAAACUGCUUUUAGCCGGGAAUAAACACCCGUUUUAUAACGGGCCCGAAGGUACCGGCUGAAUAAGCAUCGGCUAACUCCGUG